GGGCCCGCACAAGCGGCGGAGCAUGCGGAUUAAUUCGAUGCAACGCGAAGAACCUUACCUGGGUUUGACAUACACCGGAAAGCUGCAGAGAUGUAGCCCCUUUUUGUCGGUGUACAGGUGGUGCAUGGCUGUCGUCAGCUCGUGUCGUGAGAUGUUGGGUUAAGUCCCGCAACGAGCGCAACCCUCGUCCUAUGUUGCCAGCACGUGAUGGUGGGGACUCAUAGGAGACUGCCGGGGUCAACUCGGAGGAAGGUGGGGAUGACGUCAAGUCAUCAUGCCCCUUAUGUCCAGGGCUUCACGCAUGCUACAAUGGCCGGUACAAAGGGCUGCGAUCCCGUGAGGGGGAGCGAAUCCCAAAAAGCCGGUCUCAGUUCGGAUUGGGGUCUGCAACUCGACCCCAUGAAGUCGGAGUCGCUAGUAAUCGCAGAUC
rnacentral:rRNA from 1 species